GGCCUAAUUAGAUUGGGUUAGCUUUGACUUGGUGUUAUGGAUAGAUAUAAACUAAAGAGUCCAUGUGGUUAUGGACUCGUAACCAAACAUCCACGCCACCUUUUUAUCUAAAUUUUUUCACGCCUAAAGAGUAAGAUGGCGCCUCCAAUAUAGGCCAUUGGAUGGCAUAUGGCACUGAUCUGUGGUGGAGGGCGCUAAAAAAUAUUGCUACACGACUCUUCAGAAACACCGAUAAAAGCCCACGAAGACUCCUGCUUUAGGUCUCUUAGGCGCCACUUAUAUCAGAUAAUCUUCUAGUUUUUAAACAUUUAAGGAGUUUCGAUGUGUAAAAAUCUGAAAAUAAUAUGAUCAAUGAAUAGAUGCUUAUCGCAUCUUUUAUUAGGCGCGCGUGAGAGAAGAAUAAAAUGUCGUAUCUGAUAAAAGAGUUUCACCUGCAAAAGAACUCUUAUCAAAUAUGACUUUUUCUUGGUUUAGAACGUGGAAAGACCUCUGAAAAUCAAUAUGGGGAAUGUGGAUUGGAUGGCACCCGUUGAUAUGCAUCUCCACGCUAAUUAUAAAUAGCGUGGAGUCUCCGAUGUCUUGACAUUCAGAAGUCAUCUCUUCUUUCUUACAUUCAUCUCUAGAUUGUCCAAUUUCUUUCUUCCUUCCCUUGUUAGGACAAGUCUAAAUACAGUAAGGGCAAAUCCGAUUUAGGACAAGAGCUUAGGAAGAUAGUAAAGAAAGAUAAAAAGAUAAGAAAGGUAAAGAAAGAUAAGCCAAGAGAGGAGGGUGUUCAGGAAAACACGAGUGUUGUGCUGCCCAAAUGAGUGAAGAAAAGUCUUGAAGGAGCUUGUGUCUUGAUCCAGUCUCUGUGUGAAUCACCAUUGGAGGGCGAACGCUUAGACGUCUAGUGGAAACUCUGCCAAAAUUUUUUAGAUUUAGCGAUACAGAUAUUUUUCUAUAUCUUCCAUAGUGUCAUGCAUGUUUAGAUAUAUGAUUGUUAAUCACCAAGGAGGUCUUGAGUUAGGGUUUGAUAAUUAUGAUUUCAUUAUGCAAAGUUAUGAAAUUCAUACUUCCACUGUGCUAUCAUAACCCAAUAUGCCGGACGAUGCAAUUCCAACCUCCAACGCCACGAGCGUGAAACAAGAGCGAUCGCCCCUGUUUCAUGGAAUUUUGUUUUAAGUGAAGCCGACACACCAAUUACUGGCUUUACUUAACUAAAGUCGGAAAAUCCAUUGCCGGCUUCACUAUUCAUCUUCAUUUUAGAACAAAUUGAUAAGUAAACAAGAACGGUGGGCCGUGGCUUCGUCCGCACAUUUUUCGCUGACAACUGCCAUGGCGGCCACCCGGCCCCC
rnacentral:lncRNA from 1 species